GAUGAACGCUGGCGGCGUGCCUAAUACAUGCAAGUCGAGCGAACGGACGAGAAGCUUGCUUUUCUGAUGUUAGCGGCGGACGGGAGAGUAAAACGUGGAAAACCUACCUAUAAGACUGGGAUAAUUUCGGGAAACCGGAGCUAAUACCGGAUAAUAUCUUGAACCGCAUGGUUCAAAAGUGAAAGACGGUCGUGCUGUCACUAAUAGAUGGAUCCGCGCUGCAUUAGCUAGUUGGUAAGGUAACGGCUUACCAAGGCAACGAUGCAUAGCCGACCUGAGAGGGUGAUCGGCCGCACUGGAACUGAGACACGGUCCAGACUCCUACGGGAGGCAGCAGUCGGCAAUCUUCCGCAAUGGGCGAGAGCCUGACGGAGCAGCGCCGCGUGAGUGGUGAAAGUCUUCGGAUCGUAAAACUCUGUUAUUAGGGAAGAACAUAUUUGUAAGUAACUGUGCACAUCUUGACGGUACCUAAUCAGAAAGCCACGGCUAACUACGUG
rnacentral:rRNA from 1 species